GGAACCGUAAGCUGUCACCCCGCCGAUGGCCAUCGCUACCAGCUGACGCAGGCCUACGAGGGUGGAGCUGGCUAGGGCUCUCUCCGAAAGCUCAGGUGUUGUAGCGUCGACGGCAGUAAUAUUGAAAGAAGAUGCGAAUGGAAACCACAAGCUUUCACCACGUCGAUGGCCGUCUCUACCAGCUGAUACAGGCCUACGAGGGUGGAGCUAGCCAGGGCUCUCUCCCAAAGCUCAGAUGUGUGGUACGGAUUGGGUGUGCAAAGGGGUGACUCUGUGCAGUCGCCUACCAUGUGGUAAAGGGAGCCCUGUGCUCCACAAAAGUGACAAUGUUGAAAGGACGUGUUGGGGAUGAAUUGGUAUGUCCUAGUUGAGUGGGGGACGCUGUUGGCCUGGAGUUCCUCUCAGAUUGCGGUCCUGACCUUUGGCUAGCUUUUUGUGCGGGGAUAGGUAUGUUCCACGUUGCGACCUAUAGUGCAUGGUGACUGCAUGAUUAGAGACGAAAGGUUGAGGGUGCCAGGGCUCCACCGUUGGGCCAGGCGCUUGGUUAGGGAAACCACGAGUCGCGAGAUACGCCAUCUCGUUGCGUGCGAUGUUGGGAUGCGUUUGUGGCCACACGAUAUUUAUUGUACUCUUGGACGGCGGAAAGCAGGCGCUAGUUGCCUGGAGGUUAGGCAAAUUCUUCCCUAAGAGAAGUAGUGGCAUGCUUGUUGGGAGCCUGUUAUGACGGUGUCUACGGUCGUCUAUGCCAUCGACAAGGCGACUGCAACUUCCUCGGCGACGAUGGUUGUUGUUGAUCGAGAACGUUGGUGGGCGUUCUUGCCCAACAAUGACGGUGUAUGUGAAGCUUCUCGUGCCGGAGUAGAGGGCGGUGUCGUUGCAAGCGACUAGCAGAUGGCUGCCGGACUGCCUGGUGAUUACUUCAGCCCUUGCAGCCCUUCUUCCUGCUUUGUGGAUUGGGUGCAUGUUUCUUGGUAGUAUUUAAACCAGUAUCUGGUUCUGUACGCAUUGGGGCAGAGCGACCAUCAUUUGAGGUUGUUGCUGCAGCAGCGCGUUAAUGCCCAGUGUACCUAGAAUCGUUAUGCCCGUGCUCUUGAGAGAAAGUCAGACUAGUUGAUAGGUGAGGUUACAGUUCGGUGGGGUUGUCGAAUCCCAGCUUCAGCAGCUUGUCGUUACACGCACUGAGUGGUAAGCACAGAGCCCACUUGUAGGCUCUGCGCAGGAGAGUGUCCAUUUCCUUGAUGUCGGUGCAAGAGCGCCUACGGUAUGGCGCAGCGCGCCCUCCUUUCCCGUACCCCAUGAUUUCGAUAAUCUUCAACUGUGAUGCACAUAUAUUGAUUGGGGUCGUGGGGCACAAUUGUUUGCAAAACAUAGGUGAGUUCACAACGAACAAAAACAAUGAUUUUGCUUCAUGCACCAUUUGUUGAUGACAUGAUAAAUUCGCACCCUGGCAGUCGUAUUGGUUUCGACAAGUUGGGAUCCCAAACGACGAUGAGUGGAAACACAUUAGAGUACACAAACUGACGAAAAUCUGAAAUGCCUGAAUUUAGCACUCUGCCGUUCCACUGGAUGACUGACGUUGCCUUGACUUCUUUUCGGAAGGAUGGGGUAUGGGUAGCCAUCUUUCUAGUUGAGAGAUUCAAACACUGGGCUUAAGGCGUCC